rnacentral:rRNA from 1 species
AGCGCAGGCGGUUUCUUAAGUCUGAUGUGAAAGCCCCCGGCUCAACCGGGGAGGGUCAUUGGAAACUGGGAGACUUGAGUGCAGAAGAGGAGAGUGGAAUUCCAUGUGUAGCGGUGAAAUGCGUAGAUAUAUGGAGGAACACCAGUGGCGAAGGCGGCUCUCUGGUCUGUAACUGACGCUGAGGCUCGAAAGCGUGGGGAGCGAACAGGAUUAGAUACCCUGGUAGUCCACGCCGUAAACGAUGAGUGCUAAGUGUUGGAGGGUUUCCGCCCUUCAGUGCUGCAGCAAACGCAUUAAGCACUCCGCCUGGGGAGUACGACCGCAAGGUUGAAACUCAAAGGAAUUGACGGGGGCCCGCACAAGCGGUGGAGCAUGUGGU